AAAGUGUGCCUAUUUUUUUUGUUGUUGUCUUCAAAGUGUAGUUUAUUCGUACAAAAUUAAGUAACUUAGGCAUUUCCACACUUCCUAAUU